rnacentral:hammerhead_ribozyme from 1 species
AUCCAGCCGACGAGUCCCAAAUAGGACGGAACCCGCGCGCUGGAU